rnacentral:rRNA from 1 species
CUUAGAGUUUGAUCCUGGCUCAGGAUGAACGCUGGCGGUAUGCUUAACACAUGCAAGUCGAACGGUGUCUUCGGACAUAGUGGCGGACGGGUGAGUAACGCGUGAGAAUCUAGCUUCAGGUCUGGGACAACCACUGGAAACGGUGGCUAAUACCGGAUGUGCCGGAAGGUGAAAGGCUUGCUGCCUGAAGAUGAGCUCGCGUCCGAUUAGCUAGUAGGUGGGGUAAGAGCCUACCUAGGCGACGAUCGGUAGCUGGUCUGAGAGGAUGACCAGCCACACUGGGACUGAGACACGGCCCAGACUCCUACGGGAGGCAGCAGUGGGGAAUUUUCCGCAAUGGGCGAAAGCCUGACGGAGCAAUACCGCGUGAGGGAGGAAGGCUCUUGGGUUGUAAACCUCUUUUCUCAGGGAAGAACACAAUGACGGUACCUGAGGAAUCAGCAUCGGCUAACUCCGUGCCAGCAGCCGCGGUAAUACGGAGGAUGCAAGCGUUAUCCGGAAUGAUUGGGCGUAAAGCGUCCGCAGGUGGCUGUGUAAGUCUGCUGUCAAAGAGCAAAGCUCAACUUUGUAAAGGCAGUGGAAACUACACGGCUAGAGUGCGUUCGGGGCAGAGGGAAUUCCUGGUGUAGCGGUGAAAUGCGUAGAGAUCAGGAAGAACACCGGUGGCGAAGGCGCUCUGCUAGGCCGCAACUGACACUGAGGGACGAAAGCUAGGGGAGCGAAUGGGAUUAGAUACCCCAGUAGUCCUAGCUGUAAACGAUGGAUA